rnacentral:lncRNA from 1 species
AAGGCAGAAUCUUAAGCGUCCACAAGUCCCUCUCACUCGAACAAAGCUGACUCUCCUUUCACCUGUAAAAAAAAAUGAGAUGGUGGAAUUUGAAUACAGAAGUAACUGAUCUGUUCUGAACUUAUAAUGAUGAAAUAAUGGAACAGGAAAGAGGAUUCUGACUCCGGUGUUGAGGAAUGAGGCCCAGGAUCUGAAUUUUAGAAAUAAUAUUUUUGCUUCAUUCAAACAACGGAGGACCUUGAAUAGUUUUGUCAGUUUGGUCACAAUGUUUGAAAGUCCUUGAAAGGAGAGAAAUGCUGUGAAAAACAGGCCCAGCAUUUGGAGGAUGUGACUCUUAACUCCGACUCUUGUCAGCCACGAGACUUUGAAGAAAGGAAAAAUGCAUCGGUCUAUUCUUAGUGUAACAAGAUGCUUUACCAGAAGGUUGCCCUGGAGGCAAGAAUGAGAGCUCCUACUCCUCCAUAUCCUCACCAGAAUUUGUAACUUUCAGUGUUCCAGAUUCGGGCAAUUCUAAUAGGAUCUCAUGGAAAAUACUAACAUUACCUUCAGCCAUGUCUCCUUACACCCCUCUUGGCUGUGACUGUUUCUCAGACCUUGCUUGCUUUUGAAGGCCUUGACAGUUUGAGCACUACGAGUCAGCACCAUGCAAGGGUUCUCAAAGUGUUGUCCUUGAACCAGCAGCAGCAGCUGCAUCACCUAGGGACAGAUCUCUCUGGUUCCAGUUUCUCUUCUGUUUUCAAAGUGAUAUGCUGAAGAGGAAGGCACAUUAUCGGGAAGUCCUGAAGAUGCACCAGUAGAAGCUGACUGAGAAGCAUUAUAUAAGACUG